AUUGAACGCUGGCGGCAGGCUUAACACAUGCAAGUCGAGCGGAGAUGAGGUGCUUGCACCUUAUCUUAGCGGCGGACGGGUGAGUAAUGCUUAGGAAUCUGCCUAUUAGUGGGGGACAACAUUCCGAAAGGAAUGCUAAUACCGCAUACGCCCUACGGGGGAAAGCGGGGGAUCUUCGGACCUUGCGCUAAUAGAUGAGCCUAAGUCGGAUUAGCUAGUUGGUGGGGUAAAGGCCUACCAAGGCGACGAUCUGUAGCGGGUCUGAGAGGAUGAUCCGCAACACUGGGACUGAGACACGGCCCAGACUCCUACGGGAGGCAGCAGUGGGGAAUAUUGGACAAUGGGCGGAAGCCUGAUCCGGCCAUGCCGCGUGUGUGAAGAAGGCCUUUUGGUUGUAAAGCACUUUAAGCGAGGAGGAGGCUACCUGGAUUAAUACUCUAGGAUAGUGGACGUUACUCGCAGAAUAAGCACCGGCUAACUCUGUGCCAGCAGCCGCGGUAACAC
rnacentral:rRNA from 1 species